AAUAGAUACCCCGGUAGUCCAUGCCGUAAACGUUGGGAACUAGAUGUGGGGACCAUUCCACGGUCUCCGUGUCGCAGCUAACGCAUUAAGUUCCCCGCCUGGGGAGUACGGCCGCAAGGCUAAAACUCAAAGGAAUUUGACGGGGGUCCCGCACAAGCGGCGGAGCAUGCGGAUUAAUUCGAUGCAACGCGAAGAACCUUACCAAGGCUUGACAUACACGAGAACGCUGCAGAAAUGCAGAACUCUUUGGACACUCGUGAACAGGUGGUGCAUGGUUGUCGUCAGCUCGUGUCGUGAGAUGUUGGGUUAAGUCCCGCAACGAGCGCAACCCUCGUCUUACGUUGCCAGCACGUAAUGGUGGGGACUCAUAAGAGACUGCCGGGGUCAACUCGGAGGAAGGUGGGGAUGAGGUCAAAUCAUCAUGCCCCUUAUGUCUUGGGCUUCACGCAUGCUACAAUGGCCGGUACAAAGGGCAGCAAUACCGCGAGGUAGAGCAAAUCCCAAAAAGCCGGUCUCAGUUCGGAUUGAGGU
rnacentral:rRNA from 1 species